rnacentral:rRNA from 1 species
GACGAACGCUGGCGGCGUGCUUAACACAUGCAAGUCGAACGGAAAGGCCCUGCUUUUGUGGGUUGCUCGAGUGGCGAACGGGUGAGUAACACGUGAGUAACCUGCCCUUGACUUUGGGAUAACUUCAGGAAACUGGGGCUAAUACCGGAUAGGAUCUCCUGCUGCAUGGUGGGGGUUGGAAAGUUUCGGCGGUUGGGGAUGGACUCGCGGCUUAUCAGCUUGUUUGUGGGGUAGUGACUUACCAAGGCUAUGACGGGUACCCGGCCUGAGAGGGUGACCGGCCACAUUGGGACUGAGAUACGGACCAGAAUCGUACGGGAGGCAGCAGUGGGGAAUAUUGCGCAAUGGGCGGAAGCCUGAUGCAGAAACGCCGCGUGCGGGAUGACGGCCUUCGGGUUGUAAACCGCUUUCGCCUGUGACGAAGCGUGAGUGACGGUAAUGGGUAAAGAAGCACCGGCUAACUACGUG